rnacentral:rRNA from 1 species
UACGGGAGGUGCAAGCGUUGUUCGGAAUGACUGGGCGUAAAGAGCACGUAGGCGGGUGUGUAAGUCAGAUGUGAAAUCCCUGGGCUUAACCUAGGAGUGGCAUUUGAAACUGCGUAUCUUGAAUGUUUGAGGGGCUAGUGGAAUUCCAGGUGUAGGAGUGAAAUCCGUAGAGAUCUGGAGGAAUAUCAGAGGCGAAGGCGACUGGCUGGCAAAACAUUGACGCUGAGGUGCGAAAGCGUGGGGAGCAAACAGG